rnacentral:rRNA from 1 species
CAAUAGUGUAUAUUAAAGUUGUUGCAGUUAAAAAGCUCGUAGUUGGAUUUCUGGUCGGAAGCUCCUGUCCUCUGAUGAGCGUACAAGUGCGUCCUACCAUCCUUCUGUUAACCUUUAAGGCUUUCGCGGCUUUCUAGGGGCUCAGAUAUUUUACCUUGAGAAAAUUAGAGUGUUUCAGGCAGGCUAGCGCCGGAAUACAUUAGCAUGGAAUAAUGGAAUAGGACUUUUGCCUCUUCUGUUGGUCAUGAGGCUCGAGUAAUGAUUAAUAGGGAUAGUUGGGGGCAUUAGUACUUAACUGUCAGAGGUGAAAUUCUCGGAUUUGUUAAAGACUAACUUAUGCGAAAGCAUUUGCCAAGGAUGUUUUCAUUAA